rnacentral:rRNA from 1 species
GACGAACGCUGGCGGCGUGCUUAACACAUGCAAGUCGAACGGAAAGGCCCUGCUCUUGUGGGGUGCUCGAGUGGCGAACGGGUGUGUAUCACGCGAGUAACCUGCCCUUGACUUUGUGAUAACUUCAGGAAACUGCGGCUAAUAUCGGAUAGGAUCUCCUGCUGCAUGGUGGGGGUUGGAAAGUUUCGGCGGUUGGGGAUGGUCUCGCGGCUUAUCAGCUUGAUGGUGGGGUAGUGGCUUACCAAGGCUUUGACGGGUAGCCGGCCUGAGAGGGUUACCGGCGACAUUGGGACUGAGAUACGGCGCAGACUGCUACGGGACGCAGUAGUGGGGAAUAUUGCACAAUGGGCGGAAGCCUGAUGCAGCAGCGCUGCGUGCGGGAUGACGGCCUUCGGGUUGUAAACCGCUUUCGCCUGUGACGAAGCGUGAUUGACGGUAAUGGGUAAAGAAGCACCGGCUAACUACGUG